CCUACGGGGGGCAGCAGUGAGGAAUAUUGGUCAAUGGGCGCGAGCCUGAACCAGCCAAGUAGCGUGAAGGAUGACUGCCCUACGGGUUGUAAACUUCUUUUAUAAGGGAAUAAAGUGAGGCACGUGUGCUUUUUUGCAUGUACCUUAUGAAUAAGGAUCGGCUAACUCCGUGCCAGCAGCCGCGGUAAUACGGAGGAUCCGAGCGUUAUCCGGAUUUAUUGGGUUUAAAGGGAGCGUAGACGGGUUGUUAAGUCAGUUGUGAAAGUUUGCGGCUCAACCGUAAAAUUGCAUUUGAUACUGGCAUUCUUGAGUACAGUAGAGGUAGGCGGAAUUCGUGGUGUAGCGGUGAAAUGCUUAGAUAUCACGAAGAACUCCGAUUGCGAAGGCAGCUUACUAGACUGCCACUGACGUUGAUGCUCGAAAGUGUGGGUAUCAAACAGGAUUAGAUACCCUUGUAGUC
rnacentral:rRNA from 1 species